GUUGAUGGUGAAGAACGAGUGGAAUUUCGGUACAAAGAUUUGAAUUUAUAUUUAAUAGAUUUCAUUCAGUUAGAGAGCAGUACAAAGAUUUUAAACCCUAUAAUUUUCCACGAAUACCACUUUGAACCAAGCCAAGAAAAACUUGAAGGUAAUAAUGUAGUAGAUCAGUAUGAAUACUUCGUUCCUGGUUGUAUUUUGUCGAUUGGUUUAACCUCGCAUAGAAAAGAUUACGUUGCCAUAAAGAUUGACGAUAAACUACUUACACCCUCACUGAAGCGUCUCGAGUACAGUUUUACGUUCUUUUUGGUGGGCCUGCUGAUUCGAAGUAGGAAAACAAGAGACAAGGCUGUUGUUUCUAUAGUUACACCUCUUAUGGCUCGUAAGGUUAUUUACAAUCCAGAGUAUGGCUUUUAUCCUGACAUC